rnacentral:rRNA from 2 species
UAACGACUCUCGGCAACGGAUAUCUCGGCUCUCGCAUCGAUGAAGAACGUAGCGAACUGCGAUACUUGGUGUGAAUUGCAGAAUCCCGUGAACCAUCGAGUCUUUGAACGCAAGUUGCGCCCGAAACCUUCCGGUCGAGGGCACGUUUGCCUGGGUGUCA